AUGUGCUCCGGCCCGCGCAAGCCGUCGACCCCGCCGCCGGUGGCGGCGGCGCCCAAGGAUCCGGCGGCCGUGGCCUCGCUCCUCCUGGAGCUGGCGGCGGCGGACGACGUGGUGGAGUUCAGGCGGGUCGUGGAGGAGGAGAAGGCGUGCCUUGAUGCCGCGGGAUCGUGGUAUGGGCCGUCGGCUGUCGGCCUUGGCCGGCUGGCCGCGGAGAGCCGGACGCCGGCCAUGGUCGCUGCGCUCUACGGCAGCACGGCCGUGCUGGCGCACGCGCUGUCCGUCGCGCCGGGCGAGGCCUGCCGCGCGUCCGGCACGGACGGCGCCACCGCGCUGCAUAUGGCUGCGGCCGGCGGCGCGGCCAACGCCGUCGCGGCCACGCACCUGCUGCUCGCCGCGGGGGCCUCCACGGAGGCGCUCUCCGUGUCCGGGCUCCGCGCCGGGGACCUGCUCCCGCGCGCCGCCGGCGUGGCCGAGAAGCCUCUCCGCCUGCUGCUCAAGUCCCCCGCCGUGUCGCCCUCCUCGUCGCCCAAGAAGUCCGCCUCGCCGCCUGCGGCGAUGGUCGCCGCGCAGGAGCCCAGGAAGGAGUACCCGCCGGACCUGACGCUGCCGGACCUCAAGAGCGGGCUCUUCAGCACCGACGAGUUCCGCAUGUACAGCUUCAAGGUGAAGCCCUGCUCCCGCGCCUACUCCCACGACUGGACCGAGUGCCCCUUCGUGCACCCCGGCGAGAACGCGCGCCGCCGCGACCCGCGCCGCUACUCCUACAGCUGCGUGCCCUGCCCGGAGUUCCGCAAGGGCGGGUCGUGCCGCAAGGGCGACGGCUGCGAGUACGCGCACGGCGUCUUCGAGUGCUGGCUCCACCCGGCGCAGUACCGGACGCGCCUCUGCAAGGACGAGGUCGGCUGCGCGCGACGCAUCUGCUUCUUCGCCCACAGGCGCGACGAGCUCCGCUCCGUCAACCCCUCCGCCGUCUCCGUGGGCAUGAUGCAGCCCGUGUCCCCGCGCUCCUCGCCCCCCAACGGGAUGGACAUGGGGAUGCUCAACCCCGCGGGGUGGCCGUCGUCGCCGGUCAGCCGGCUCAAGACGGCGCGGGAGCUCGACUUCGACCUGGAGAUGCUCGCGCUGGACCAGUACCAGCAGAAGCUGUUCGACAAGGUGUCCAACAGCGCGCACUCGCCGAGGGCGAGCUGGGGCGCGCCCAACAGCGGCCUCGGCUCGCCGCACGCCGCCGGGUCACCCGCAAGAAACAUGCCGGACUACACCGACCUGCUCGGCUCCAUUGACCCGGCCAUGCUCUCCCAGCUCCACGCGCUGUCGCUGAAGCAGGCGGGCGACAUGUCGCCGUACAGCUCCAUGCCGGACACGCAGCUGCACAUGCCGACCUCGCCGAUGGUGGGCGCGAACAACUCGUUCGGCCUCGACCACUCCAUGGCCAAGGCCAUCAUGACCUCCCGCGCCUCCGCGUUCGCCAAGCGUAGCCAGAGCUUCAUCGACCGCGGCGCGCGCGCCCCGGCCGCACGCUCACUCAUGUCGCCGGCCACCACGAUCGGCGAGCCAUCCAUGCUCACCGACUGGGGCUCCCCCAGCGGCGGCGGCAACCUCGACUGGGGCUCACCCGGCGGCAAGCUGGACUGGGGCGUCCAGGGAGACGAGCUGCACAAGUUCCGCAAGUCGGCGUCCUUCGGGUUCCGCGGGCAGUCCGCCAUGCCGGCGGCCGCCCCGGCCACCCCGGCCGAACCCGACGUCUCAUGGGUGAACUCUCUUGUCAAGGAUGGCCACACAGGCGACCAUUUUCCGCAGUGGCUGGAGCAGGAGCAGAUGGUGGCCUGA
rnacentral:rRNA from 1 species